rnacentral:rRNA from 1 species
CAGCAGUGGGGAAUAUUGCACAAUGGGGGAAACCCUGAUGCAGCGACGCCGCGUGGAGGAAGAAGGUCUUCGGAUUGUAAACUCCUGUUGUUGAGGAAGAUAAUGACGGUACUCAACAAGGAAGUGACGGCUAACUACGUGCCAGCAGCCGCGGUAAAACGUAGGUCACAAGCGUUGUCCGGAAUUACUGGGUGUAAAGGGAGCGCAGGCGGGAAGACAAGUUGGAAGUGAAAUCCAUGGGCUCAACCCAUGAACUGCUUUCAAAACUGUUUUUCUUGAGUAGUGCAGAGGUAGGCGGAAUUCCCGGUGUAGCGGUGGAAUGCGUAGAUAUCGGGAGGAACACCAGUGGCGAAGGCGGCCUACUGGGCACCAACUGACGCUGAGGCUCGAAAGUGUGGGUAGCAAACAGGAUUAGAUACCCUGGUAGUCCACACUGUAAACGAUGAUUACUAGGUGUUGGAGGAUUGACCCCUUCAGUGCCGCAGUUAACACAAUAAGUAAUCCACCUGGGGAGUACGACCGCAAGGUUGAAACUCAAAGGAAUUGACGGGGGCCCGCACAAGCAGUGGAGUAUGUGGUUUAAUUCGAAGCAACGCGAAGAACCUUACCAGGUCUUGACAUCCUACUAACGAGAUAGAGAUAUGUUAGGUGCCCUUCGGGGAAAGUAGAGACAGGUGGUGCAUGGUUGUCGUCAGCUCGUGUCGUGAGAUGUUGGGUUAAGUCCCGCAACGAGCGCAACCCUUAUUGUUAGUUGCUACGCAAGAGCACUCUAGCGAGACUGCCGUUGACAAAACGGAGGAAGGUGGGGAUGACGUCAAAUCAUCAUGCCCUUUAUGACUUGGGCUACACACGUACUACAAUGGCGUUAAACAAAGAGAAGCAAGACCGCGAGGUGGAGCAAAACUCAGAAACAACGUCCCAGUUCGGACUGCAGGCUGCAACUCGCCUGCACGAAGUCGGAAUUGCUAGUAAUCGCAGAUCAGCAUGCUGCGGUGAAUACGUUCCCGGGCCUUGUACACACCGCCCGUCACACCAUGAGAGCCGGGGGGACCCGAAGUCGGUAGUCUAACCGCAAGGAGGACGCCGCCGAAGGUAAAACUGGUGAUUGGGGUGAAGUCGUAACAAGGUAGCCGUAGGAGAACCUGCGGCUG